rnacentral:lncRNA from 1 species
UAAAGAAGAUACAUUAUUCAAGGUUAGUUGAUAAUUGACUUCUAAUUCCUAUUUUAAUUUUUUUUUUUUUUAAUUUCAAGAUGCAGCUCAAAUAUGUCUCCAUUUUUAGGAUAUGUCAAGCUUUCUAUGCCUCUGAAAAUGUUGAUGAGAGCUUUUUGACCUUCCCACAGGGCAUACAGUAUCAUUGAUGAACUUUAUU